GAUGAACGCUGGCGGCGUGCCUAACACAUGCAAGUCGAACGUGAAGGUAGAGCGAAAUGCUUCGGUGUGGAGCUUUAUUGGAAAGUGGCGAACGGGUGAGUAACACGUGGGUGACCUGCCUCGAAGUGGGGGAUAACCAUUGGAAACGGUGGCUAAUACCGCAUGGUCCUGUUGGUAUGGGAAUAUCAGCGGGUAAAGCUCCGGCGCUUCGAGAGGGGCCUGCGCCCGAUUAGUUAGUUGGUGAGGUAACGGCUCACCAAGGCGAUGAUCGGUAGCUGGUCUGAGAGGACGAUCAGUCACACGGGAACUGAGACACGGUCCCGACUCCUACGGGGGGGCAGCAGUGAGGAAUAUUGCACAAUGGGGGCAACCCUGAUGCAGCAACGUCGCGUGGAGGAUGAAGGUCUUUGGAUUGUAAACUCCUUUUUUCGGGGAAGAGGAAGGACGGUACCCGAAGAAUAAGUCACGGCUAACUACGUG
rnacentral:rRNA from 1 species